GUAAUGACUCUCUGCAACAGAUAUCUCGGCUCUUGUUACGAUGAAGAACGUAGCGCAAUGCGAUACUUAGUGUGAAUUGCAGAAUCUCGUGAAUCAUCAAGUCUUUGAAUGCAAUUUGCGCUCGAGGCCUCUGCUAAGGGCACAUUUGUCUGGGCAUCGCAU
rnacentral:rRNA from 1 species